GCGAGAAAACUUUGCAAUGUGCGAAAGCACGACAAGGUUAAUCCGAGUGGUUUCUGCUAAAGAAACCUUUUGCCAGUCCUAGAAACACUGGUGAAUAAGGGGUGGGCAAGUUCUGGUGU
rnacentral:rRNA from 1 species